CUGUGUGUGAAGAAGGAUGCGACUUUGACGCCACGUUUGUGUUUUCACUCAUAAAACUCAACAGCAGCGGUCCAGGAGUUUAACACUCUUCUGUGUCCAAAAGGCGUCUGUGGACUCCUGCAGUCACAAAGGAGGAAAACCGACUUCAAGUUGCACUUUCGCCACUUCCAUCCUCUCCAUGAUCAACAUAUGUCAAAGGAAAUGAAACAUGAAAGCUGACAGUUCCUGCACCGCGGCUCGGCUGCAGGCGCUGACACUCGUCAAUAUUUACAUAAAACUCACCGGGGGAAACAGCUAGCAUGGAGGAGUGGGCGUCAUUGUCACCCUGAUAUAUUCACACACAAUGAUGACUGUGUGUGUGUGUGCGUGUUGGAUUCACACAGGUUAAGGUUAGAAAUUCUGUUUGCUGUAAUUCAGAAACUUGCAGAACGUGCUGUUGUUGAGAGAGAAUAAUGACAGCGCUCACAAACACAACC